GGGUGUUCGCGCCAUGUCGGCGCGGCAGGUGAUACGCGCUGGUCGGGCCGCCACG
rnacentral:ncRNA from 2 species